UUCCCUUUACUUGGGCCUGACUUGGGCCGCGGGCCUCUUAUUUCCCUUUUAUUAGUUCUCUUUUAGUUUUGUUUCCUUUUUACCCUUUUCUCUAAGGAUAAUUUAUGUAAUUUUGCCAUUCACUUAAUAUAUAAAGAGAGAGGGACAAGCCUCUCUGAGUUUCUUUUCUUUCCAAGUUCUUUCUUUCCUCUAACAUGGUAUCAGAGCAAAAAGGUCCCUAGGGUUUCUUAUCUCUUGAUCUCUUCCCUUUUCCUUCUAAUCUCUCCUCCUCCUCCUCCUCAUCUUCUUCUUCUUUUCAUGUAACCUCUCCUGGUUUGAGAAUCUUAACCUUUUAAUCACUCAUUAUAUGUGACUUGUGGGGGGUGGUCUGCGACUGUGGUGUCCUACAGAUCUUGUUGAAGUUUUUGCUGGAAAUUCUAGAUUGAUUUGUUCCCUAUGGUUGGAUCAAAAACAGCAAUAAGGGUUUGCUGGUCAUUAUUGUUUGGACAGUUUUUUGGGCAUCUUUCUUUCAGAUUUACAGGAAUCUCCUCGUGGAGCUGAAGAUGAAAAAGUUGCUCGGUGGCGGGCAUGAGAUUGAUGGUUUAUACAUUUUUCGUUUGAAUGCUUCAAGUGAGCAUCUUAGUGUCAUGAAUGAAGACCUUUAUCAUUGGCAUUGUACAUUUGAUCGACCUCCAAGUCUAGAAUUGCAAUCUUUAUUAUUAACAUCAGUCAAGUCUGGUGAUCUUAAAAUUUUAAAAUGUGAGGCAUGUGUUUUAACCAAACACCGUAGGUUUGUCUAUUUUCCUGUGGAGAAACAUUCUAGUAGAAUUUUUUUUCUUUAGUUCAUUCGGAUAUUUGAAGUCCAGUUCCUAUUAUUUCUACUGGAUUUAAAUACUUUGUUUUUUUUUAUUGAUGAUACAUCCCAUACUACGUGGACUCAUUUGAUGAAAUGUAGAGAUGAGGUUAGCUCUAUUUUUAAAGUGUUUCAUAGUUGAAUUAAAAAUCAAUUUAAUGUGAGUAUUGGUACUCUUUGUACAGAUAAUGUAAAAGAAUACAUUUCCUAUACUAUGAUAUCUUAUCUUUAAGAGCAUAGUAUUAACUCUUAGAUCACAUGUGCAUAUACCCCACAACAAAAUGGCAUGGCUGAAAGGAAGAAUAGACAUCAUUUAGAAGUCACUCGGGCUCUUCUUUUCCUCCCACUAAAGUUCAUGUUGGAAAGUCUCACAUUUGAUAUUUUUUUGACUUCUAUCCAAUCUCUGACAUUCCCUUGUGUAUCUUUGAGUGUGUAUAUAAUGUCCAUAACACUGAUUCUCUUAGAAACAAAUUGUCAAAUAGAGCUAUCAAAUGCAUUUUCUUAGGAUAUUCAUCUUCACAAAAAGGGUAUAAAUGUCUUGAUCCUCUUAUGAAAAGUGUUGUCUUUAUGGAUGUUAAAUUUGUGGAAGAUGCUCUCUACUUUUCUAAUAGAAAUGGGGAGACAUUCCAUGGUUCUUCAUGUUCCUGCUCUUGAGUCUAAUCAUAUAGUGUUCGUCUUCUGCACCUGACAAUGCUAGAAAUAAGGUUGGUACUAAUUCCACUAAGUCAAACUUAAAAC